UACGUAGGGUGCAAGCGUUGUCCGGAAUUAUUGGGCGUAAAGCGCGCGUAGGCGGAUCGCUAAGUCAGGGGUGAAAUCCCAGGGCUCAACCCUGGAACUGCCUUUGAUACUGACGAUCUGGAGAUCGGGAGAGGUUGGUGGAAUUCCGAGUGUAGAGGUGAAAUUCGUAGAUAUUCGGAGGAACACCAGAAGCGAAGGCGGCCAACUGGCCCGAUACUGACGCUGAGGCGCGAAAGCGUGGGGAGCAAACAGG
rnacentral:rRNA from 1 species